UCAAAUCCGGGGGUCUAGAUUUGGUGCCACUAAAAGAAAACCAAUUGAAAAUCUGUAUGUUUUUUUUUUUUUUAAAAAAAGCAAAAACAAGUAUUUCAAACCUGGAUAUUAAAAAAAAUGAUUUACCCUUUCGAAACAUGUAUUGUUGAAAAGCUAAUAAAAAUCAAAGAAUUUAAAACCUAAAAGCUUUAAUAAAAGAUUUAAAAAAAAACAAAGUUUAACCCCCUUUAAAACAGGAUCGCAAACAGGCUAUAUUAUUGAAAUCAGAAAAGUAAAACUAAUAAAUCUUAUUACAUGUUUUUACAACUAAAACAAGUUUAGACAACUCUAAUUACCACUAGUCCCAAAGACUCGAUCUUGGAUACUCUUCCUGACCAUCAGGUUGAAACUUAGUCACUUGCAAUCCUCGCCUAGCCUUACUCUUAUGCUUAGCCUAAAUAGGCGAACCAUCUUUAACAUUAUCUGAAAGGGGUUAGAAGAAAUAGCAAGAAUGAGCAAAAGAAUGCUCAGCAAGUAUAUAAUAUCCAAACCAACAAUAAAUCAAACAGUAUGUAAAAUCUGACAAUGAUAUAAAGAUAAUGAUACCAACACAAUAUGAUUUAAACAAAACAGUUUCUCCUUUAUGGAAUUGGAACCAGAUAAGACGCUACGAGCUAAGCUGGGUGAUCAGCCCACGACAUAGCUCCGAACCCGCAUAUUCAAUACGAGUUCUCAAAUAUAAAGGAUCCUAGGCACACUUUGGCCUUUAAUAAUUCAAUUGGGACCGGCGCCUCGGUCAUAAAACAUUUUCAUCCAAUUCCCUUUCUAAAACAGAUAAAUCAAAUCAUUUUUCAUUUUAAGACCUAUUUUAUGAAAACUAAUCCACUUCUAACAAUUUAAAUCAACAGACAACUGAAUCAACAGAACAGAAUCAUAAUCAUUAUCAGCAACAGAAAUAUUUCAAAUCAACUUUUGGGAAUCAACAUUUCAUAAACCACAGUCUGUCUUUUGAUAAAUCAUAGUUCAGG
rnacentral:lncRNA from 1 species